UCUUGGAAAUAAAAUCCAAUGUUUCGUGUCU
rnacentral:piRNA from 1 species